CCCCAUUCCUUAAUGGAUUCGCCACCACCUCCUAUAUCCAGGCUGAAGACCCUUUAAAUUAUACCUUUCAUCCUAAUUCUUAUUCUUCCUCCUGGUCUGUAUUUCCUGUUUCCCACUCGGAGACAUAGCAAGCCCCCAAUCAUCUUACAUCUGAGCCGUGAUUCCCAGUUCUUUAUACUCUCAAUGCCACCUUUGAUGCCAUCUUUUAGUCUUUCAGCUUACUUCCUUAAAAUCAUCUCCAUUUCUUUCUCCCUCUGCCUUGCUCAGAUAUAAUGCAUGCAGCAUGACUGUCUUUCCUGAGCCACUGGAAAAAAGGCCUUAAGAGCAGAAUUCUAAGGUUUGUCAGUGGGAAGAGAAGGUCCUUUGCCCUGUGUCCUUCAAAAUGCAGACCUGAUCCAUAGAAAGUGAAUUUCUGUUCAACAUAAGGAAAUGUUGAGGAUGAGAGUUCCAGCCAGUGAG
rnacentral:lncRNA from 1 species